rnacentral:rRNA from 1 species
GACGAACGCUGGCGGCGUGCUUAACACAUGCAAGUCGAACGGAAAGGCCCUGCUUUUGUGGGGUGCUCGAGUGGCGAACGGGUGAGUAACACGUGAGUAACCUGCCCUUGACUUUGGGAUAACUUCAGGAAACUGGGGCUCAUACCGGAUAGGAGCUCCUGCUGCAUGGUGGGGGUUGGAAAGUUUCGGCGGUUGGGGAUGGACUCGCGGCUUAUCAGCUUGUUGGUGGGGUAGUGGCUUACCAAGGCUUUGACGGGUAGCCGGCCUGAGAGGGUGACCGGCCACAUUGGGACUGAGGUACGGCCCAGACUCCUACGGGAGGCAGCAGUGGGGAAUAUUGCACAAUGGGCGGAAGCCUGAUGCAGCGACGCCGCGUGCGGGAUGACGGCCUUCGGGUUGUAAACCGCUUUCGCCUGUGACGAAGCGUGAGUGACGGUAAUGGGUAAAGAAGCACCGGCUAACUACGUG